AGCUUUGCACAGUGGCAGUAUCACAGCCAAUGAAGUUUAUCCAAGGUGCAAUUAUUGCUAAUUGAAAACUCUUCUCCUG
rnacentral:snRNA from 1 species